rnacentral:misc_RNA from 1 species
UACAGAGGGCCCGAGCGUUGAUCGGAAUCACUGGGCUUAAAGGGUUCGUAGGCGGAUCGGCAAGUGCUUUGUGAAAUCCCACGGCUCAACCGUGGAAUUGCUUGGCAGACUGCCGAUCUUGAGCACGACAGGGGCCAUCAGAACGCUAGGUGGAGCGGUGAAAUGCGUAGAUAUCUAGCGGAAUGCCGAAGGUGAAGACAGAUGGCUGGGUCGUCGCUGACGCUCAGGAACGAAAGCAUGGGUAGCGAACGGG